rnacentral:lncRNA from 1 species
GGUCCUACAAAGUUUUCAAGACUAGGGAAAGGCUGAAAAAUCUUCAAAAAAAUCUAGAGCCCAAUGCAUCCCAUAAAACCAAAGAAUAUUUCACCAAAAAUUUACACUAUAGAAUUAGAAACAACAGAGCCAUUAUGUUCCACCACAUCAGUGCAUGAAAACCAAAGAAACAGCAAUCAGAAAUGCAAGAAUCGCAUGAGAAAGGAAAAACUAGGCUCAUAUUCCAUUGAAAUUAUAGAGGCACUGAUUAAGUAUAGCUACUUGAAUAUUAGGACCGAAACCACAGUAUAGAGGCAGCACCAAUUCCGUAAUAACAACCUUGAAAAUCCAUUGACUUUAUGCACUUGGAAAAUAUUCUUGCAAACAUUUCCUGUCAAAGAUUAUGAAGUAUUCCUUUUCUCAUUAAUUAAGGUUUCCUCAUGCAAAAAUGACCUAAGUACAUAGCCACUUUACUGCUGAAUCUGAUUUCUCUGCUACCAGAAAAUUCCACCAAUCUGAAUCAGUAGGAGCUUAUCAAAAAUGUCCUAAGGGUUGGCAAUACUAUUGAGAAAAGAACUUCCUUACAUAUAUUAGCUAGAGAAUAUUAAAAAUUGAUUAAAAAAUAUUUUUUUUAUAUGUUUUCAUCACAGGAAUACUAAAGAAAAUAACAAUGAAAUAACAAAACAUUAAUUCUUAAAAGCUUCUUUCAACAACAAUUAAAAUAAUUCUUUUCCUAAAAAAACACUCCUUUGACCAUAAAACUCAAUGCAAACAUGACCUAAGUCUACAUCCUGGGAACAACCAUAAAAAAUAAUUAAAAAAAGGUUUUUAAGGCCUAUUUAUUGAUAAAGAGCGAGCCACUUUGUCAACCUCUAUAGCCUAAAUUCUUCAAACCUAAAAAGAAUAUGAACAUACUGCCAAAUUGUUUAAGCAUGUGUUAUAGCACCAUGGGAAUAAUGCUCACGCUGGUUUUAAUGAUCCAUAUCAAAAGUGAAAAGUAUCAACAGUAGGACAUAUUCAAAUUUGAAAUAUGUGUUGGAAACUUGAAAUAUCCUUUGAUAACAAGGAAGACAUGAAUGCCCAUGCCCAAAGCCUUCAAG